GAAAGAUCGGCCCGCGUCUGAUUAGCUAGUUGGUGAGGUAAUGGCUCACCAAGGCGACGAUCAGUAGCUGGUCUGAGAGGAUGAUCAGCCACAUUGGGACUGAGACACGGCCCAAACUCCUACGGGAGGCAGCAGUGGGGAAUAUUGGACAAUGGGGGCAACCCUGAUCCAGCCAUGCCGCGUGAGUGAUGAAGGCCCUAGGGUUGUAAAGCUCUUUUGUGCGGGAAGAUAAUGACGGUACCGCAAGAAUAAGCCCCGGCUAACUUCGUGCCAGCAGCCGCGGUAAUACGAAGGGGGCUAGCGUUGCUCGGAAUCACUGGGCGUAAAGGGUGCGUAGGCGGGUUUUUAAGUCAGGGGUGAAAUCCUGGAGCUCAACUCCAGAACUGCCUUUGAUACUGAAGAUCUUGAGUCCGGGAGAGGUGAGUGGAACUGCGAGUGUAGAGGUGAAAUUCGUAGAUAUUCGCAAGAACACCAGUGGCGAAGGCGGCUCACUGGCCCGGUACUGACGCUGAGGCACGAAAGCGUGGGGAGCAAACAGGAUUAGAU
rnacentral:rRNA from 1 species